rnacentral:rRNA from 1 species
AAUCAACGCUGGCGGCGUGCCUCAGACAUGCAAGUCGAACGAUUAAAGCUCUCUUCGGAGAGUGUAUAGAGUGGCGCACGGGUGAGUAACACGUAAGUAAUCUACCUUUGAGUGGGGAAUAACGUCCGGAAACGGACGCUAAUACCGCAUAAUGCAGCGGCAUCGCAAGAUGACAGUUGUUAAAGAUUUAUCGCUUGAAGAGGAGCUUGCGGCAGAUUAGCUAGUUGGUAAGGUAAUGGCUUACCAAGGCUACGAUCUGUAACCGGUCUAAGAGGACGGUCGGUCACACUGACACUGAAUAACGGGUCAGACUCCUACGGGAGGCAGCAGUCGGGAAUUUUGGGCAAUGGGGGAAACCCUGACCCAGCAACGCCGCGUGAAGGAUGAAGUCUUUC